CUACUAGUGAAAUUUACAAGUAAAAAAGUAGAAAAUGUGCGGGUUAUUGACUGUAAGCCAUAUGCAUUGCGACAGGUGGCGCUAAUGUCGUACCGAUAUGUAUAUUUCCCAUGGGAAACUUAUGACGAUUUGUGAGAGGACGGGACGUAAUCAUAAUUCUGUCAAACGUUACAUCGAAAAUUAUUUACGAGUUUAGUGAUAUAGUGACCAGAAAAUUUGAACAUUAGACAGAGGAUAACGUUAGAUUGAAAUAUUUUAAUGUUAUUUUUCCCCUAUUUUUUGCCGGAACCGGAGAAAAAGAAUGUUCGAUCGAGGAAAACGUUAGAUCGAAGUUUUACUGUAUAUCCCUUUAAAAAUUGUUGUUAUAAUUUAUACAGUUAUACUUGUAAAACAUUUUCAUACUUAAAAGCAAUAUAUUUAAAACCCUUCAAAUCCUUGUUGAUAUUAUUGUUGCCAUGGGAACUUAAUAACAGAAAAAAGAAUUUUGGAACAACAGUUGAGUCCUGAGGAUGGCGAAUUUAUCGCUGAAAACGU
rnacentral:lncRNA from 1 species